UAUAGGAAGUGGUAAGUCUUCAGCUGUCUAUUUAUAGUUCUGAUGGCCUCAAGAGAUCAGAUGAAGGUUGAUAUCUCAUUCCACCUCAGAGGAACAGAGAGUGUAAAGGUUCUGGAAAGCAACUUUGUACCGACUUUGUACCCAAAGAAGCCAUCCAAAAUUCCAAAGAAAAAAGUUUUAUUCUUUUUUUUUAAUUUUUUUUUUUGAAAUUUUUUUAAAACCAGCUAUUUAGACAUCAACAGCCUACAAUGCAACAUUAAGAACUAUUUUAAAUCCCUUAGCCUGCUAAAGAACCCUAUGCAGAGCUAUUUGCUGAACCUAAUGUGAAACAGAAAGGCACUAAAGACUUCCUUAAGAUUCUGCAGUCUCUGAAAUGGUAAAUGUCAUUUGCAGAAGAAAGAGGUACAAACUUUCUUGGAUUUGCUUGAGUGGUAUUGCUGCAGGUUCACCAAGGCCACACAGAACCCAGUGGGAUAGACUGUUCUGAAGAGGCAACACUUCAAGUCCAGGUACAGUAGAUGCCUUUUCUAAAGCACUCCUUCAUCCUUCUAAUCACAUUUGUUUAUCAUGCAACAAAUUCAUUUCAGUGUUACAGAGAUGUUCCAUAAAAUCUUCUAACAGUUUGGCAUGUUCUGGUGUGUGUCAGAAGAUUGUAGUGAAUGGCCCAGCAUAUGGAGGAUUUCCUGAGGGUGCCUGAUGACUCAAAUAAAGAGAGAUAAUUAAGACUUUUGGAAUUAAUGAAUUCGGUAAAUCAGCUUCUCAUGAAAACAUUCUCCAUGCUCAAACACUAGCAGAACAUUGGGCGCUUUGGACAAAAUUAGUUCUUAAACCAGUGAAACUGUAAUUUGUGUAUUUCUUAAUUGCUUACUCUAAUAUUUCUGCUAUUUGCAUUCGUUCAAGGGCAGAGAAAAAUAAAGUCUGGAACGUGAUGAUGGACUAAGAACAGAUCAAUCCAUCAUGAAUUCAUAACCCUGAACCAACAGGAGCUCACUGAGACAUUUUUCGUCUUCCAAAGCCCUGACAUGGAUGAAACACGGAUCAGAUCGGCUUUGAUCAGAGCUCUAAAUCAAAGUCCUGCCUGCCAGUCCUGGCCUUUAUGAGGAGAGUUUAUCCAGGGGAGCUGCAUUGGCCAAAGUGACAGACGCCACUCAGAUCCCUUCCCCCGCAGACCUGCAGCACACACUGACAGAAAUGCUCUGUACCUGACAAUAUAGACACAUACUAACGGCCUCUGAAGGUCAUCUGAAGCAUUACAGAAGCACUGCGCUGUUCCACGUGUCUUUGGGGGCUUUGGGACCAGAGGAAUAAAACAUCUCAUCUGGAGUCUUUGAAGCGGUUUGCAGCUGGUACGUCUCAUCAAUUCUGCUGCAUAUCAACAGAUCUUGUUUGGGUUUAUCCAAAAAUCCAAAAUCCUACCGCCGUAGUCCCAAACCUAAUGCUAUGCCCGUCAGGUAGAUGGUUAGAUGUGAGCUAGAUUUUAAUUAGAUUAAUC